rnacentral:rRNA from 1 species
GGCUCAGGAUGAACGCUAGCUACAGGCUUAACACAUGCAAGUCGAGGGGCAGCAUUUUAGUUUGCUUGCAAACUGAAGAUGGCGACCGGCGCACGGGUGAGUAACACGUAUCCAACCUGCCGAUAACUCCGGAAUAGCCUUUCGAAAGAAAGAUUAAUACCGGAUAGCAUACGAAUAUCGCAUGAUAUUUUUAUUAAAGAAUUUCGGUUAUCGAUGGGGAUGCGUUCCAUUAGUUUGUUGGCGGGGUAACGGCCCACCAAGACUACGAUGGAUAGGGGUUCUGAGAGGAAGGUCCCCCACAUUGGAACUGAGACACGGUCCAAACUCCUACGGGAGGCAGCAGUGAGGAAUAUUGGUCAAUGGGCGAGAGCCUGAACCAGCCAAGUAGCGUGAAGGAUGAAGGCUCUAUGGGUCGUAAACUUCUUUUAUAUGGGAAUAAAGUUUUCCACGUGUGGAAUUUUGUAUGUACCAUAUGAAUAAGGAUCGGCUAACUCCGUGCCAGCAGCCGCGGUAAUACGGAGGAUCCGAGCGUUAUCCGGAUUUAUUGGGUUUAAAGGGAGCGUAGGUGGAUUGUUAAGUCAGUUGUGAAAGUUUGCGGCUCAACCGUAAAAUUGCAGUUGAAACUGGCAGUCUUGAGUACAGUAGAGGUGGGCGGAAUUCGUGGUGUAGCGGUGAAAUGCUUAGAUAUCACGAAGAACUCCGAUUGCGAAGGCAGCUCACUAGACUGUCACUGACACUGAUGCUCGAAAGUGUGGGUAUCAAACAGGAUUAGAUACCCUGGUAGUCCACACAGUAAACGAUGAAUACUCGCUGUUUGCGAUAUACAGUAAGCGGCCAAGCGAAAGCAUUAAGUAUUCCACCUGGGGAGUACGCCGGCAACGGUGAAACUCAAAGGAAUUGACGGGGGCCCGCACAAGCGGAGGAACAUGUGGUUUAAUUCGAUGAUACGCGAGGAACCUUACCCGGGCUUAAAUUGCAACAGAAUAUAUUGGAAACAGUAUAGCCGUAAGGCUGUUGUGAAGGUGCUGCAUGGUUGUCGUCAGCUCGUGCCGUGAGGUGUCGGCUUAAGUGCCAUAACGAGCGCAACCCUUAUCUUUAGUUACUAACAGGUCAUGCUGAGGACUCUAGAGAGACUGCCGUCGUAAGAUGUGAGGAAGGUGGGGAUGACGUCAAAUCAGCACGGCCCUUACGUCCGGGGCUACACACGUGUUACAAUGGGGGGUACAGAAGGCGGCUACCUGGUGACAGGAUGCUAAUCCCAAAAACCUCUCUCAGUUCGGAUCGAAGUCUGCAACCCGACUUCGUGAAGCUGGAUUCGCUAGUAAUCGCGCAUCAGCCAUGGCGCGGUGAAUACGUUCCCGGGCCUUGUACACACCGCCCGUCAAGCCAUGAAAGCCGGGGGUACCUGAAGUACGUAACCGCAAGGAGCGUCCUAGGGUAAAACUGGU